rfam:Triticum aestivum genome assembly, contig: Triticum_aestivum_CS42_TGACv1_scaffold_158096_2DL
AUUAUACUCCCUCCGUCCGGAAUUACUUGUCAGAGAAAUGGAUGUAUCUAUAUGUAUUUUAGUUGUAGAUACAUCCAUUUUUAUCCAUUUGGGCGACAAGUAAUUCCGGACGGAGGGAGUAAUUC